rnacentral:rRNA from 1 species
GAUCCUGGCUCAGGACGAACGCUGGCGGCGUGCCUAAUACAUGCAAGUAGAACGCUGAAGGAGGAGCUUGCUUCUCCGGAUGAGUUGCGAACGGGUGAGUAACGCGUAGGUAACCUGCCUGGUAGCGGGGGAUAACUAUUGGAAACGAUAGCUAAUACCGCAUAAUAGCAGUUAUUGCAUGAUAACUGUUUGAAAGGUGCAAUUGCACCACUACCAGAUGGACCUGCGUUGUAUUAG